rnacentral:rRNA from 1 species
AUGAACGCUAGCUACAGGCUUAACACAUGCAAGUCGAGGGGCAGCAUUUUAGUUUGCUUGCAAACUAAAGAUGGCGACCGGCGCACGGGUGAGUAACACGUAUCCAACCUGCCGAUAACUCGGGGAUAGCCUUUCGAAAGAAAGAUUAAUAUCCGAUAGUAUAUUAAAACCGCAUGGUUUUACUAUUAAAGAAUUUCGGUUAUCGAUGGGGAUGCGUUCCAUUAGUUUGUUGGCGGGGUAACGGCCCACCAAGACUACGAUGGAUAGGGGUUCUGAGAGGAAGGUCCCCCACAUUGGAACUGAGACACGGUCCAAACUCCUACGGGAGGCAGCAGUGAGGAAUAUUGGUCAAUGGACGAGAGUCUGAACCAGCCAAGUAGCGUGAAGGAUGACUGCCCUAUGGGUUGUAAACUUCUUUUAUAUGGGAAUAAAGUAUUCCACGUGUGGGAUUUUGUAUGUACCAUAUGAAUAAGGAUCGGCUAACUCCGUGCCAGCAGCCGCGGUAAUACGGAGGAUCCGAGCGUUAUCCGGAUUUAUUGGGUUUAAAGGGAGCGUAGGUGGAUUGUUAAGUCAGUUGUGAAAGUUUGCGGCUCAACCGUAAAAUUGCAGUUGAAACUGGCAGUCUUGAGUACAGUAGAGGUGGGCGGAAUUCGUGGUGUAGCGGUGAAAUGCUUAGAUAUCACGAAGAACUCCGAUUGCGAAGGCAGCUCACUAGACUGCAACUGACACUGAUGCUCGAAAGUGUGGGUAUCAAACAGGAUUAGAUACCCUGGUAGUCCACACAGUAAACGAUGAAUACUCGCUGUUUGCGAUAUACAGUAAGCGGCCAAGCGAAAGCAUUAAGUAUUCCACCUGGGGAGUACGCCGGCAACGGUGAAACUCAAAGGAAUUGACGGGGGCCCGCACAAGCGGAGGAACAUGUGGUUUAAUUCGAUGAUACGCGAGGAACCUUACCCGGGCUUAAAUUGCAUUUGAAUAAUCUGGAAACAGGUUAGCCGCAAGGCAAAUGUGAAGGUGCUGCAUGGUUGUCGUCAGCUCGUGCCGUGAGGUGUCGGCUUAAGUGCCAUAACGAGCGCAACCCUUAUCUUUAGUUACUAACAGGUCAUGCUGAGGACUCUAGAGAGACUGCCGUCGUAAGAUGUGAGGAAGGUGGGGAUGACGUCAAAUCAGCACGGCCCUUACGUCCGGGGCUACACACGUGUUACAAUGGGGGGUACAGAGGGCCGCUACCACGCGAGUGGAUGCCAAUCCCUAAAACCCCUCUCAGUUCGGACUGGAGUCUGCAACCCGACUCCACGAAGCUGGAUUCGCUAGUAAUCGCGCAUCAGCCAUGGCGCGGUGAAUACGUUCCCGGGCCUUGUACACACCGCCCGUCAAGCCAUGAAAGCCGGGGGUACCUGAAGUACGUAACCGCAAGGAGCGUCCUAGGGUAAAACUGGUAAUUGGGGCU